rnacentral:lncRNA from 1 species
ACCCACCCUCGUCGUAUCUGAAAUUUUGAAGACAACAUACAUUAGGAUCAAGAGACUAUUGUUGUACCUGUUACUGAUGAUCAAGUCAAAGAGACUGCUCUUAUGCAUAGUAUGUCAAAGGAAGAACCUUCAAUUCAAAAACAGAAUGAGAAACAGAAAAGACUUGCAAGUAAAGAAACUAGCACAGAUAUAGGAGAAAUGAGUGAUGAAGAUGUACUAAAAAUAGUAAAAGUGGAACGUUCAGAAACAACAAAGAGUCAGGAUGCUGUAAGUCGCCAUUGUGAAUAAGAG